rnacentral:tRNA from 1 species
ACCUAAAUAGCUUAAGUUUAGAGUUUAACAUUGAAAAUGUUAAGGAAAUAUUUUUAUUUUUAGGUA